GAAGAACGCUAUUCUAUAAUUCAGGGUGGAAAUCUUAGAAGAAAGAGCAAUUGAAAAAUCAAAAAUUAAAAUUCUAAAAUGAUGAAAAUCGUAGGAUUGACGUUGAUCAUUGCGUGUUUUCUUCAUAACAAUAUUCCCACCAGCGCUGCAAGCAGAGUUAAAAAAUGUGGGUGGAUGUGUCAAGCAGAAGUGACAAGAUGCGUUAACAAUAUUAUCUGUGGCAACACGAGGGCAUGUUUACAUCGUAUGGAUGAAUGUAUCAUGUACAGAAUGCCAUGCGUUAAAAAUUGUAUGUCGGCGUAAGAGUAUAGAACGCUAUAAAACUUUAACGAGACUACCUUUAUUAAUAACGUUAACAUCGUACCACACUGAAGUAUUAAUCGAUAAUCGUAAACAGUAAAAAUUAUUAACAUAACAAUUGGCUUUUUGCAUCAUUAUCUCACAAAACAAUAGUAGCUAAAGGGGCUGUUUGUUAGAAAUUAGAAUGGGACUAAACUUGCGACUUUCACCUUCACUUUUCUAACCUCACGGUGGUCGAGGUAUACCGCAUACAAGAGAUCGAUGAUGUUGUUAACUGAACUUAAGAAGUAUAACGGCUUAUAUAUAACUAGUUGUCGUGACUCGUGAAUAUAAAUAAGCUGAUAUACACCUACGGUAGAUCUACCAGCAUUACACAACAUUAGUUCUCUAAUCCCUGGUUAUAUAUACGCAAAUUGUAGAAAAACCAUUUCUGCAUGUUUGAAAAUUACCAAAGAGAAGGGGCGGGGAAGAAGAAUUUCGAAUUCAUUUCUUGACGCGGCGAUAUUUCAAGAUUCUUCUGUGUAAAUAUUAGUGCCCUUAAAUUGACGACAUGUUGUGUGUUUUUUAUUUGAAUUGCAUAUUUUCCAUAGAAGAUUACUAGACUUCACUAGACUUCACCCAUUAAUUGUUCGUAGACGUUCGAAUUAUAUUUAUGAUCGUUUUAUUGUCCCAAUCUGCAGUGCUGCAAAAUCUCGAAAGGUUAAGGUCGGGCGCGUGAUAGCAAACAGCAAAAAUUUCGGGAACUGAUAUACAUGCAAUUCAAUGUUUAAAUUCCGGAGUCGGGCAUCUUGAAUAUUAGUGAUUCCAUUGAAGACAUGCAUAUAUUAGUGUAAACGGCUACGAAUACUUCAUAAACAUGUAUAGGAAGAGGCUGCUUAGUGCUGAGUGGGUCAGUAUAACGAGUUAAACCGAUGAAGAGGGAUUCCGGAGAUAAUUUUUCACAUAUGCGCUCAUUGAGAAAAGAAAAUAUCAGUCAAGCCACCCAAUAAUGUAUUUGUGUUGUUUGGGGAACGCCAAACUCUGUUAGGAUUUGAUAAACGCAUAGCGUUAAUGCACGAAUUUUAUCUACAAUAUUAAAUUAUAAUGUUACAACUCAAUAUAUGCCGAGGAAAAUAAUUACCGGGCCGGACAACGUUUUCAUCAAUAUUCUAACGAGAUAUUAUAAAAAAUUGUAUAGACUAUAGCGGCGUAAUCUCGUAUUUCUUUCGUGAAUAUCAAUAUUAACCAUGAUUAAAUCAUGAUAAUAGAAAAAACAACUGUGGCAUGGGAUGGCAAUUUUUCAAAUUCAAUUCAUUCAAAAUUAAUCAUUAAUUAUUCAAACAUCUUUCGACGUAAUUCUAGAUAUCAGAGUGAAGUUGGACCAAAUCAAAACUCGAGAGAUGUUCAACAACAUAAUUGAAUAAAUAGUUUUCAAUUAGAGAAGAUUAGUAAAUCUCUGGCUUCAUUUCACCAUAAACGAUGAAACAUCUUUUAACAAUGCGACGGCAAUUUUAUGAUCACACGGAGUUUAAUAAAUUCAAACAAUGGCGUCAAACUGAUAAUUAUGCAAAUGUUUGCUCAAACAAUCAUAACAAACCAGUCAUUGGUGGACACGAUUUCUGGCAUCAAUUGUUUUCCACCUCUUGUAUAAAUAACAAGACACUCUAACGUUCUUCUUCACACGAAGACAGAAAGUGAUCGAAACAGACAAUAUAACUAAAGUUCAAGAUCGAUAUCAGGAAUGUCAUCAAGAGUAUAUUUGAUGAUCUUGCUGUUAGCGU